AACGGAGGGCGCAAGCGUUGUUCGGAAUCACUGGGCGUAAAGCGCGCGUAGGCGGAGCGAGAAGUCGGCGGUGAAAGUCCGGGGCUCAACCCCGGAAUGGCCGCCGAAACUCUCACUCUAGGGACCGGUAGAGGCCGGUGGAAUUCCCGGAGUAGCGGUGGAAUGCGUAGAUAUCGGGAAGAACACCUGUGGCGAAGGCGACCGGCUGGGCCGGAUCCGACGCUGAGGCGCGAAAGCGUGGGGAGCAAACAGG
rnacentral:misc_RNA from 1 species